rnacentral:rRNA from 1 species
AUGCCGAUGGCCGCGCCGCAGACUCGCCGCCACCAGGCCGCCUUCCUCCGCAGCAAGCCCCCCGCCCCCGUCCCCGCCAACGGGAAGGCCGGCGCGACCAAUGGGAAACCCGCCGCCGCCUCCUCCAAGCCCAACUCGCCCGCCUCGCCCGCCCAGGCACCACCAACGUCGUCUCUGUUGGAGAGGACGGUGAAGCAGCUCAGGCUGGCCAAGGCGAUGACGCUCCCGGAGGCCACCGCGGUGUCCGAGGCGUGCCGAAGGAUGGCCGCCAGGCGCGCCGACGCCGCGCUGCUCACCGACUCCAAAGGGGUGCUCUCCGGCAUCGUCACGGCCGAGGUCAGAAACUCAUCACAAGGGAAUAUCAACUUUAAACUGCAGGGGAAUGAUAAUGCGAUUCUUGGGGCUGGCGCUGGAUGA